UACAGAGGUCUCAAGCGUUGUUCGGAUUCAUUGGGCGUAAAGGGUGUGUAGGUGGCGCCGUAAGUCGGGUGUGAAAUUUCGGAGCUUAACUCCGAAACUGCAUUCGAUACUGCGGUGCUUGAGGACUGGAGAGGAGACUGGGAAUUUACGGUGUAGCGGUGAAAUGCGUAGAUAUCGUAAGGAAGACCAGUGGCGAAGGCGGGUCUCUGGACAGUUCCUGACGCUGAGGCACGAAGGUCAGGGGAGCAAACAGG
rnacentral:rRNA from 1 species